UGUGAGAAAAUGGUGUGUGAUCCAGCUCGACGUCUUCAGAUGGGCUUGAGCCCAAAGCGCAACCUACAAGAGUUAAGAGAAGCAGCAAGGAGAUGGGCCUUGGGGAGAAAUAAAGGAAGCAGGCCCAAGAGGAAGUCGCUUACUCUUUAUAAGAAAAAGAUAAGGUUGGUACGUAACAACCUUGAUCUUCUUCUUCAUCGCCAGCUCUCUGUUACGAGAUUCCUCCAUUGUUAGCUAGAGAGCUGAGCUUCUGUAAACACUAUAAACACAAAGGAGAUAGUGAAUUACCAGGUCCCGAUCCUGAAGGAGAUGUACCUAGUCCAUUGACAGGGAACUCUAAAACUUGCUUGUGUCUUACGCUUACUUUCUUGCUUUCAUUCUUCUACGGUUAUACACACGAGUGAACGGAGUCGCGAUCUGAUCAACCGUGAGAGUACC
rnacentral:lncRNA from 1 species